UGGGGAAUAUUGGACAAUGGGCGAACGCCUGAUCCAGCCAUGCCGCGUGUGUGAAGAAGGUCUUCGGAUUGUAAAGCACUUUAAGUUGGGAGGAAGGGCAGUAAGCGAAUACCUUGCUGUUUUGACGUUACCGACAGAAUAAGCACCGGCUAACUCUGUGCCAGCAGCCGCGGUAAUACAGAGGGUGCAAGCGUUAAUCGGAAUUACUGGGCGUAAAGCGCGCGUAGGUGGUUCGUUAAGUUGAAUGUGAAAGCCCCGGGCUCAACCGGGGAACUGCAUCCAAAACUGGCGAGCUAGAGUAGGGCAGAGGGUGGUGGAAUUUCCUGUGUAGCGGUGAAAUGCGUAGAUAUAGGAAGGAACACCAGUGGCGAAGGCGACCACCUGGGCUCAUACUGACACUGAGGUGCGAAAGCGUGGGGAGCAAACAGG
rnacentral:rRNA from 1 species